AGUGAACGCUGGCGGUAGGCCUAACACAUGCGAGUCGAACGGCAGCACAGGAGAGCUUGCUCUCUGGGUGGCGAGUGGCGGACGGGUGAGGAAUACAUCGGAAUCUGCCCAGUCGUGGGGGAUAACGUAGGGAAACUUACGCUAAUACCGCAUACGACCUUCGGGUGAAAGAGGGGGAUCGCAAGACCUCUCGCGAUUGGAUGAGCCGAUGUCGGAUUAGCUAGUUGGCGGGGUAAUGGCCCACCAAGGCGACGAUCCGUAGCUGGUCUGAGAGGAUGAUCAGCCACACUGGAACUGAGACGCGGUCCAGACUCCUACGGGAGGCAGCAGUGGGGAAUAUUGGACAAUGGGCGCAAGCCUGAUCCAGCCAUACCGCGUGGGUGAAGAAGGCCUUCGGGUUGUAAAGCCCUUUUGUUGGGAAAGAAAUCUUUCAGGCUAAUACCCUGGGAGGAUGACGGUACCCAAAGAAUAAGCACCGGCUAACUUCGUG
rnacentral:rRNA from 1 species